GACCGAGUGCCGCUCACGCCC
rnacentral:siRNA from 1 species